ACAGCCCAAAGACUGGUGGGGGAAAGGCAGGAGGGUUCCCAAGAAUAAAACAUUUUAAGAAGAGUAAGGAGGAAAAAAUAAGAAGAAGCCCAGGGAUGCUGGAAUCAAGGUGAAGGUGAUCAUCAGAGUGCUGUGAGAUGGAAGAAGCAACUUUUGGAGUAGAUUAAAAAGGUUCCCUCAGUUCUCAGAGCAGCCACUAUGAAUGUGUGAACCAGGGCUCUCUCAGAACCUUUUAUUUCCCCAGCAAGUCAGCAAGUAAGGGGAGGGGGGAAAUCAGGAACAGAUUUCCUGUGCGCGUCUCAGAAUUUUUUUUCUGCUGAGAGCAGAUGAGUUUGCUCUAGCAGAAGAAAGUUGGUCACCAGAGCAGCCAAACUGCCCAGGCAAAAAGGUUGUUGUGAUGCCAACAGAGGUCAUUAAUAGUCUCGGAUACGUGAUGAGUGUUCCUGCGUCCUAAGACUAGUGCAAAUGGAGGUAGGUGUGUUGAUCUGCAACUGCAGGACAUGACAACUGUGGUGACUACUUGAGAAAAAGCCCCAUGCUCAGCAACCCCUGGAGAAAACCCUGAUGGAGGUCAGAAGUGACAUCUCCCAAAUCUGCAAACUUCUGAAGUAGGAAGCGCAGGGUUCUUUUUUGAUGAGGAUGAUAAGAGAUCAAAUUAUUUCUGAAGGUUCUGUAUGCCUCCCCCAGAUUGUGCACAAGUGCAGAUCCAUAAAUCAGUGGACUGACACAGGUGCAAACCUGAAAGGUUGCGUGGUAUAUGAUGAAUCCUUUCCACUUUGACACAUUCCCUCUGGGGCUAUGAGUGGCAGAAGCUUCAUUGACAUUGGAUUUACCCUGCAGAGAGCCUGAUUUUUGGAUCCUGGGGAUCAGAAAAGUCCCUGAAGGUAACACUUGUGCCCUCCUCUGAGCAACUCAGCACAAUGUUUAUCCUUGCAAGUGAUGGCACUAUGUAUAUAAAUAUAUAGAUAUUAUAGCUGAAGUGGCACCAGAUGGAUAAUUGCAGCCCCUGAGUGCCUAAUCUACUCUCCAGGACAUGGGCAGUUUUCUGAGCCAACAAAACUUAAUUGAACUUUCCGUUCCAGCUGGAAAAGGUUAUGGAUCUAGCGAGUACAAACGGAAGGCAGGAUGAAAAGGUCAGAUGUUCUGUUCUCUUUGUAAUGGAUUGACCGGGGACAUGUUUUUAUCUUUCUCACAACCGCUGGAUUGUAAAACUUAAUUAGCAAGUCACUUUUCUCCCCUGUUUGAGGGUAUGUGUAUGAUGAUUACACAUAGAUCACAUUUUAUGGACAUGUCAUGUUUUCAUUUGAGAGUAGCAGCCUGCAUGAGGGAUGGUUUUGCCACAUAUUUCUAUCAAUAGUUCAGGGAAGAGAACGUCGGACAAAACGGAGAGCUAUCCUUGACAUCAGAUAUGCCCGUUCAGCUACCAACAACACCAACUGAUGGAUCUGCUGCUGCUGAAACUGAGAUUUUACCUGCUGUGUUGGGCCGUGAGAAACCAAGUAUUGCAAAUACAGACAGAAACAAGAGAGAUAGAGAGGAAUGGACAUACAGACAAGGAAGAGUAUGACAUUAUGAGAGAGAGAAUGCAAAGAAAGACAUAGAAAAAUGAAAGGCAAUUAAUGUAUAGUAAAGAAAAAUGUGUAAGCAUACAAUGAAAAACACUGAGAUGUCUGAAUUCACAGGACAGACUUACUGCCCGUACAUCCUGAUUGGAGAAUGAUGCUUUCUCAAUUGAGAAGUGUGGUCUCAUCAUCUGAAGGCACAUCUUUCCUGUCUCCAAAGACGUGAGAAAAUAGAGAUAAUUGUUUAUUUUAGAUUAGACAUCAAGGAAAAACAUCCAACAGUAAGGGCAGUUAAGGACCGGAAUAGAUUGCUGCGAGAUUGAAACCACCUGAGGGUUUUAAGAGCAGGUUAAACAAAUACCUGUCAAGAAAGAUUUAGAUGUAGCUGAUCAAGCUUUGGGGCAGGGGUGGACUAGGCAACCUCCUGUGGUUGCUUAUUUUCAAAUUUAUUUUCUGCAAUUUAAUGUAGUUCCACUUUCUUGGUAGUCAAGCUUAUCUCCAGAGCAUCAAAAAUGGUCUCAGUGAGCCAAGAACUUCACAUUGGAUGAAAUAUGAAUCAGUCAUAGACACACACUUAAAGUCACCAUUCAAAGCAUGGAAGUUUUUUCAAUUCAGAAGAGGAGGAAAAGUUUUAAAAGACAUUUUGAAGUCUAGAAUUUCCAUCUCUGUUCAAUAGCACAGUAUCUGUCUGGCAGCUUUUAGUGAGAACUUCUCCUCCAAUGUGACUCUUGGGCAGUAACAAGCUGUUUUCACUCUGGUGGCUUGUGUCAGUGUCCAGGCACACCAAGCAAUCUGCACAGCAACAGCAGUCAGGAUGAAUUCAGAUUUUUCAGAGCAGCGGUUUAGUUUUUUGCACUCCUAAAGCUUUUGGACGAGUUUUUUUGAUUUGAACCUUUCUCUUCUUAAACAUCAAGUUAACCACUUUCCUUUAUAAGUGGAUUAUCACAUUCAUGAACCCCUUCCUUACAUAAAGAGGCUGGAUUGCUGUACAGAUGGCAAAGAGGAUCCAGGAAACAAAGGCAAAAAUUCGUACCGAGAAACUCCUCGUGCUGUAAAGCCGGCUCAGGAGGGAAGUGGAGAAGCUGUCAACAUAACUGCACAGGGAAGACAAAGAGACAGGAGACACAGACUGAGCGUAUCUAUAGCACAUCAAACAACACCAAGUCAGUCAAAGAGUCAUUAAUCCAUCGGACUUUGAACCUUCCCCUCGGAUGCUGCCAGAUCCAUCAGCUGAGGGCCAGCGGUAGAAAGGCAGCACAGCAGGUACUGGUCACCAGGGACAACAAAACAAGAAGCCGUUCAAGCUUUCUGCUCUGCCUGAGAAUCUGUACAGAGAGUUCAGGAGAUUCAGGCCACCAAAGAGGAUUUUAAGGAGUGAUGGCUUUGCCACAGGGUGAAUCAAACCACCAACAGAUGCUGUGUUAGUCUAAAAGCUUCAGCAUUGCCAUCCCCUCUCCUGCCUUCUCCAUCACAGCCCUUUGGAGCAUUUUCUUUAAUAACUUUGGAUAAGAACCACGGUCCUGUGCGUGUCAAGAGAAGGGCUGACGUUGCCUCAUGGACAGCUGUAUUUUCAUCCCUCACUGAGGGAGAUGAAAUGACAGUUUCCAACAGAAAACAUUAGUUGUAUUCCACCUGGUAAAGAACAGCAUGAUGACUUGAUCACAGUCACUCAGUACUUACCUGGGGAAGAGAUUUGUAAGCAAAAUGCUCUUAAAGUGAAACAAAAAUGUUCUAACAGAGCCCAAUGGAUGAAAACUUCAAAGGCAUGCUCAGACUUAGAUGGAGGUGUGACUCUGAAUAGCACUGGUAAUUAAUCACUGCAACAGCUAAAUGCUGUGGAUUCCCUGCCGCUUGAAGCCUUUAAAAAGACAUCUGUGCUUGAUUUAAAGAGGUGUUACAGUGUAAAUGGAAAGAAAGGGAUUGAUACAAAAUAGCGGGUGAGACACAAGCCAUCGGAUUAAAUGAGAAGUUCCCAGGCAGCAAUACACACAUCAACAGGGAUGUGAAAUCUGAAAAUGGCACAGGAAGGUUUCCAAGACAGUGAAAUGUCACCUGCUGCACGUACUUGGGUUGCACCCCAGAGCCAGAGCCUACUACAUCAAAAUGGCCAGUGGUGGUGACAAGCAGAAUAGAUUUAGGAGUCCACAAAUCAAACCAUCAUCAUCACCACCAUCAUCAUCACCACCACCCCUUCUGCCAUUCAAAUUUCUUAAUCACCAUAGCUGUAGUUUGGAGCUCCAGUAAUCUGGAUUCCUUAAAGACAUGUCAUGAAGAGGUGAAAAGGAGGGACAAAAAGAAAACAAAACCAAAAAAAACCACCCACCACAACAACAACAAAAAUCACAAAAAUAACUGAAUCUAAGAAAGGAAAGCUCCUAAUUGUCAGAGGUAGUUUGUGAUACUGGUGGAGCGUGUUCUGAAGACUAGGUCUGGGCAGGGGCAGACCCAGGUCUCCUGUUCCAUAUUUUGGGAUAAUGGAAGAAUUUUCCUUUUGACAGCAGCACUGGGACAAGAUUGACUGACAACCCCAGGCCUGCAAAUCCCACUACUAACCCACCAACUGAAGUGGGAAGGCAAACUGGUCCUUCUAACCCCAUCAUGGUGUUUGAACUGUGCCACAAAGGGAAGGUCCGUGACUCAUCCUAGAUGAGAACCUACACAAGCUGUAUUGUGGUUUUGUUGCUUUGGAUGGGGAUGUCUUUCUGCCACAAGGGAGAAUGGAUGGACUGUUGGCUGAAUGUUGGGAGAGCUGGGCUUAGAUUCUGGUUCUCGUCUGGACUUCCCCUGUCCUCUCCCCUGGUGCCUCUUGUCUUGUUCCACAUUUUCUGGUGCAUGUCUCCCUUGUCCAUCCUGAAUUUCUGACAGAGUAAACAUCUGUGUAAGAGCUAUCUGUGUCCCCUGGGCACAUGUGAACAGGUCAGCAAGAACCAGCAUUGCACAGACCUGGGACAAUCCUUACAUUUUAUUUGCGUUCACCUGUAAAGAGAAGGACAGACAUCCUCCUGUAACAGAAGACAGUGUCUGGUUAUACCACUUAUGCACUAACGUGGGGCAUCGAACAGUCAGCAGGGGACAUAUGAAUAUCUACACAAACAACACAAAAGGUAUUAAACAUCCGUAAAGAAAAAAAUAAUUGGAGAUGAGACCUGACUUCCAAAUAAACUCUUCGGAAGAUGCGUUACUUCAUCUCUGUUCAUUGCCUGUAUUUUCUUCUUUGUCCAGAAGCUAAACCAAGGCUCAGUCAAGAUUUCUAAGGGCUACUGUAUCAUUAUUACAACAACAGAAAGUGACUUUGAACAUGAAGGACUUCCAGAGCUUCUCAACAGCUCUUGCAUCCAGACUUGCAAGAAUCCGUGAUGAAUAGCAGAUGAUUACUCUUUUGGAAGGAGUGGGCUCGCUUCGAGUUUAAUCAGUAAACAGCCUCUGAUUAUUUUUUCUGUUCUGUAAAUAUCCCUCAGUGUUUUUGAGGCGACCGUGGCCUACUGCCUCCUUCACACCAUGAACUCGGCCAAACGCAUGACAUCCUCCUCCACUCGCACCCGCCCACUGAAUUACUCCGAGAAAUAAAUGCAGCAAACAUUGCCCUGCAAUUCCGAGCUGUCAUCCCAGGGUGACCAAUGGCUCCUGGAGUUUGUUGGGCAGAGAGGCAGAAUUUGUCCUUCAGGGUCGGCGACCUUCUUUGCCAGGUGAAGAACUAAAAACGCUUUCCGAACAAGCUGCGAUAUGAAGCCCUUGCAAGCAGAUGGGCACGCGCAGACAGAUUUUACAUGCCCUGAGAUUCUCCCUGAGAUGAGAUUCUCUCAUACAAUGAAGAGGAUUAAAUUGAAUGAGUAUCUGGCUGUUUUGUCUAUUUUGAAAAACUAUCAUUGAGUCAGAUAUAUCGUUGAGUUUCAGAUAUAACUUCAUAUUGCCAUAGUGUUAGAAAUGACAUUUUUUCACACCUCAAAACAGGGCUGAAUUUAUGUUAUGCUGUUUGGAGAAAUUUCUUGGUAAUUCUCUCUUUAUAUCAGACAAUUUAUACAUUCCAGCUGUUAGCACUCAGGCAGAUAAUGGUCAUGUAUGUAUCUAGCUCCAAUAGUAACAUACAGAAUAUGAAAUCCCAAAUGGGAUGAAAUACAAGUGCAGGCACGAACACUCACACCAGGCAGUGGCUCUUGAUAGGUAUGCAUGUCCCUCAACAUGUGCUGCCACAAAUUCAAGUGGUCAUGCUGGGAGAAUAAAUACCUAAUAACAAGCCAUAAACCACCAAAGUCUCAGUGUCUGAAUCUUGGGGUCUUGUGCUGCAUAAAUGACACCUGAGAUUUUGCCCAAAAGGGAGACCAAGGGCAGGUUCUCGAUAUAGUUAGGCUGUCGAAUAUUUAAGCAAUUUGAAAUAUUUUCCAGCCCUAUUUUCUCUGCUAUUCACAGUGGCAGCAUUCCAGUUCAGGAGUGUGGAUUUCCUGGUAACCCACACUGACUCUGCCAGCUUUCCAAGAGCACCACAAGACACAUCCUUUCAGCAAUGCUACUGCAUGAAUUUGAACCAUUUCUGAGUCACUCAUGUUUGAUUGCGGUGGCAGAAGGAGGAAGCCUGUUUCUGCAGCCUGCUGUAGACAGUUUGAUUUAAUGUCUGAUUGCAUUUAAUUUGUGGCAGCAGCCCAGAUGCUAUGGCCAUAGGUGCCUAGAAAAUCAUUAAGCAAAUGCAAUAAGACACAUGGAAACCUAAAUCAGAGCCCAAGGACACCUGCAUCCUGAGAUAUUGUCUCGUAGCUCCAGGGCAUUUGACCUUAGCCUUUAUUCCAUGGUCAUGAGCUUUUAGCAAGCGAUUGGAGAGGCACCAAAGAUUUGCAGGACGAACGUUUUCUGCAGAAAAUGGACUGACCUAUUUUUUAUGCUAACAGUGCGCUUCUUCCUCGAGUCGAAGCUUAAGCUGUGGGUUUUUACACAGCGGUGAGGUGACAGCCUUUACUCCUCGGGUAAAGCUUAACAAUGGGAGAAUUGUACUUUUUGGGCCAUAGAGGUAGAAUUGACCUAAAGGUGAAAGGCAAGGUCUUUAUGCAUGUUGAGCAGCAUUUUGCCCCAUUGGAUAAUAUGUUAGAAGGCCUGAAGGCAGAAAAGCACAUCUCAGUGUGAACAGACCAGGGCCUGAAAGAAACAGCUGUUCUUAUUGCUAAGAUCUGGGAAACACGGUUGCAAAGGGCACCCCUGGAAAGAACCAGACAAACUAAAAUUAGUUUCGAGCCAAUAGAAACAUUCAGUUUUGAAAACGUAAGAAACCCCUCACAUUUCAGAUUUGAAACAUUUACUUCAUCCCAAUUUAUUUCAACCUGAACCUUAGAGCAGAAGAGUGCUUUUAUCGUGCAAUCUUGUUUGUAAUUUUUCUUUGCCUCUUUUGAGCAGUCUGGACCCUGGUUGUGACAUGACAUUGUGCAAAAAAAUACAGAGGCAGAGAGAGAGUAUCCAGAAGCUGUUUGCCUGGAUUAAUCAGACUGCCGGGGUCUGCCACAGGGGUUCGGAGGUGUUCUUGAGGAUUGCUCUUAUUAUCAUAUUGAUUCCUUUCUACUUUUAAAUGCUUUACUGCAAAUCGAAAACCCAAGUGAAGUUAGCUCUGUUGCAGUUUUCUUCUUUCCUCAAUGCCAAACAAAUUUGUUUCCGAAUGGGAAUGAACAUUGGCGGGAUUUCUUGCUUUCUCCAAACACUUGUCCCAUUGCUGGAAGCAAAAACUUGGGCCUUUCUCAGUCAGAGGUGAAGAGUCAGUAUGGGAGAGCAGGUUUUGCUGUAUCUACGGUGCCACAACCCCUCUGGAACUCAGCAUCUCGCUCAAGCCCAGCUUUUUGAGAGACGUGAAGGGCUUGUGCUCUGGUUCAGUGUUGGAAUAAACAAAUUAAUUCUUGGGGUGGAGAAAUGAGGCGCUUUAUGAGCAUGGAUAGAAGAGUGAGUCUGUUUGAAUUUCAGUGUUUUCCUUACAAAGAGUAUGAAUGUUUUUGGCUCAUACGGUAAAAACGUUCUGCAGUACAAAAACCAGGCAUGAUCCAUGUACUUCCCAGAAGUCAAACUCAAUGGUACUUUAAGUCUAAAUCCACAACUCCAGCAAUUUUUGUGACGUGCACAACUUCUGCUGCAUUGGAAGCACAGAGAAAUGGUUUUUCAUGUAUAUAGAAGAGGAGGGAACCAUGUACCCCAUGGAAACCCCCAAUGCAGGAUCCCAGAAGCAAACAAAACCUCCUCAACUUGCCAGAAGGAACCAGAAGCAGCUGCACUGCAAAGGUGCAAAGUGACUUUGAAAGACUCCAGGUCACCAGUAAAGGCAUCUUCAAUAGACAUUUUCCUGCUAGAAUAUUCAGGUAUUUGAGGCCUCACCUGCAAAUCCACAUUGCAUGUGGUAUUUCUAGUUAAUUACAUGCCUCCUGUCCCCCAGGAGAAAGACCAAGAGCAUGAACAGGUUGAGGCAGUCGGCUCUGCUGGCGGGAGAACAUUUUGAAUUGAAUCGCUGCAGGGAUGGUAAAACAGCUCCUGUCACCCAUUCCCAAUCUCUCUUUAAUGUAACCAGAAACUUAAAUACGACUGAGUUAAUCUUUGAGGAAAACAGAAAAUACUGUAACAAUAAAGGUUGUAACAUGGUUACAAAUGAGA